UUGAUCCUGCCGGACCCGACUGCUAUCAGAGUGGGACUAAGCCAUGCGAGUCAACGCAGCAAUGCGUGGCACACGGCUCAGUAACACGUAGUCAACAUGCCCAGGGGACGUGGAUAACCUCGGGAAACUGAGGAUAAACCGCGAUAGGCCAAGGUUUCUGGAAUGGACACUGGCUGAAACCUAUAUGGCCCCUGGAUUGGACUGCGGCCGAUCAGGCUGUUGGUGAGGUAAUGGCCCACCAAACCUGUAACCGGUACGGGCUUUGAGAGAAGGAGCCCGGAGAUGGGCACUGAGACAAGGGCCCAGGCCCUAUGGGGCGCAGCAGGCGCGAAAAUUCUGCAAUAGGCGAAAGCUUGACAGAGUUACUCUGAGUGAUGCCCGCUAAGGGCAUCUUUUGGCACCUCUAAAAAUAGUGCAGAAUAAGGGGUGGGCAAGUCUGGUGUCAGCCGCCGCGGUAAUACCAGCACCCCGAGUGGUCGGGACGAUUAUUGGGCCUAAAGCAUCCGUAGCUUGUUCUGCAAGUCUUCCGUUAAAUCCACCUGCUCAACAGAUGGGCUGCGGGAGAUACUACAGGGCUAGGAGGCGGGAGAGGCAAGCGGUACUCAGUGGGUAGGGGUAAAAUCCUCUGAUCCACUGAAGACCACCAGUGGCGAAGGCGGCUUGCCAGAACGCGCUCGACGGUGAGGGAUGAAAGCUGGGGGAGCAAACCGGAUUAGAUACC
rnacentral:rRNA from 1 species